CGCCGCGUGCGUUUCGGGAGCCGGCCUGCUCCCUUCCCCCUUGGUGCCAGCCUCUGGCCCCGCCCAGUGCCUCCCACCCUUUGCCAUGGCCGGCUGGGGUUCCUGGGGAUGGGAUUUGCUGUCUCACAAAUCACAUUGCCAGGGAUUUCCAACCGACCCUGAGCUCUGCCUCCGGGCCCACCACUGCCACUGAGGAUGCCUGUCCAUGCCUGGGGACGGGGUGUCGGAGAGGCCCUGCCACCGCCACCACCACUGCUGUAGCCGUCGCCAGGCCUGAGGAGCAGGGCUUAGCUGCUUGUGAGCAGAGUCCGCACCAAGUCGUGUUCACAGUGGCUAAGUUCCGUCCCCUGGGCCCCGCCUCCACCGCCCCACCUUUCUGCUGGUUGCCCAGUUCCCCGGGCUCUGCCUCCCGUGCC
rnacentral:lncRNA from 1 species